rnacentral:rRNA from 1 species
AUUAUGAGUGCAAGGCAAUGUGGCUUUGGAACAUUGCACUGUGAUUUUCCUGUAUUGCCGCUCAACCAUCAAACAAACCGUGUAAAGGUAAAACAGACAGCAGUCUAGUAGGUGUAGGGGGCUCAGAAUUGUAACAUCCCUCUCAAGUCUGUGGUGUCUACAGAAAGUGUAGUAUGCUGUGCAAAUAGGCAAAUGUUUAAAAACAAAAUUUUACAUACAACAUUUCACUCUCUCACUCCAAAACACUACAUGCACACCCUUCUCAACACAACUCAUCCAAUGUGUUUCUUUCCAACAAACAAAAAAGUGUAAACCAAGUGUAGGGAAAUUCGUCAGGGAACAGUCCGGGGUAGUCAAGUCAAUAUAAAAAAAUUAAACACUGUAUCACAACUAAAGCACUAUAAGCAUCUGCUUUAGGAAAACAAUCAAGCCCCUCUAAUGACUGCUUUGAAUUCUAUAGUUUCAGCAAUGCAAUACACACAAUAGCGCAAACAAGUAGCUAAUAGUAUUUAUACUAAUAAUGCAUCCAUGAUGAAACACCUUGUUAGUCCACGUGUUACCUAAAGAGAACAGGAAAAGAGAAAGGACAAUCGGAAACCUUGUCCAAAUGUCAAGUCAAACAAUGCUUUGUAAUUAAUUACCAGCUCCGAGUUUCUUACUAAUCUGGCAUGGCUUAAGAAAAAAGUUAGUAUUAAUGAAUAAACACUGGGGGCUAGCUAGGGGGCCGCAAAAGGACCAAAAAAAGACAACUUAAAAAAAACACAACUCAAAAACUCCUAAAUACAAACCUGAUACCGAUAAGAGGCUAAAUUCUCCCAACUGUAUGUAGUUUUAGCAACUACCCACGUCAUCUCAGUUCUAUGAAUAGGGAUAACUUACCAUCUAAUUGAUGGUCUAUGUACAUGAAUCCUGCAUUACAGCGGGGGACGCUCUAUGGAGGAUUUCUCUGUCGCUGGUUGGUUCUUCCCGGCUCAACACUACAAGGCAGGGCAGAAUCCAAUGUAGGGUCGGUUGUAGUGCUGUCUGAAUUCGAGAAAGAAAAGCACACACGAAAGGGGUGCUGUUACUCAUGCCUUCCACCAUUUUAUUUUGGACAUUAGCUGUGCCUUGUAGCGGGGAAGGAGAUAACUGAAUACCGAGAAAGGUCAGUAGGCCAUAAAGAGCAAAGGGUAACUCUUCUGAACAGUCCAGAAAUCGCUGAUUACCUCGGGUUUCAGUAUGCCAAUGUCGCGGUGUGGGCAUCACUGUAUUUAUGCCAUACAGGCUCCACUAAAUAGCGGGGAGCCGCAACUUCAGUGCAGCAGCAGACUCGACAACAAGUGUUAAGUUGGUCGGGUUCGGGUAUACACGGCAGUCAAUGUAUGACAAAUCAUUGAUGCCGCAGAGGAAAUAUAAAGGCAAACCGGCCUAGCCCUCAGUAUUUUAUUAAAUACAGCAAGGCAGUAUGCCAUAAACGGGCUGUAGUACCGCCGAAGUGCUGAGAUCUAGCUUGUUCCUACCUGUGGUCGUAAUCCCUCGUACCACUCUGUGUACUCCUCCGAGCCAGCUGGUCACUGCCAGAGAUUAGCCCGGGCGAUCUCCAGACUCAUCGUCUUGCCGGCACAAGAUGUUGUGUCAGUACGAUGGUAUGUAAUUACCCAUGGAGAUACACUUUAUGCAUGUGUAACCACAUCGUGUCAUAACUCCACACCUAGGCCCACUCCUGCAAUUAGUUCUUAUUCAGAAGUUAAAUGCAUAUUUGUGGCAGUAUCAAAGCAUGGAGAUGGGCAUUCUGUCUGGUGUUUCUUUUGCAGUAAGACCAGGGCAAUCCAACGGUUUCAUUGAAACAAGGCAUCACAAAGGCCUGCGGCGGGUGUUGACACGAUGUGAUUUCUGCCCAGUGCUCUGAAUGUCAAAGUGAAGAAAUUCAAUGAAGCGCGGGUAAACGGCGGGAGUAACUAUGACUCUCUUAAGGUAGCCAAAUGCCUCGUCAUCUAAUUAGUGACGCGCAUGAAUGGAUGAACGAGAUUCCCACUGUCCCUACCUACUAUCUAGUAAACCAUAGCCGGGGGAAUGGGCUUGGCAGAAUCGGCUGGGAUAGGAGACCCUGUUGAACGUUACUUCAAGUCUGGACUGUGAGGAGACAUGAGAGGUGUAGGCUAGGUGGGAGGCCCUCAGGCCAGCAGUGAAAUACCACUACUGUCAUAAUUCUUUCAUUUACCUAGUGAGGCGGCGGGACAAGCCUAUGGGACUAUCACUUCUGGUUCCAUGCACCUGUCUUCUGCCAGGUCUGACCCACUCCGGGGACAUUGGCAGGUGGGGAGCUUGACUGCGGCAGUACACCUGUUCUAAGAUAACACAGUUGUCCUAAGAAAAGCUCAGGGAGGACCUUCAACCAGCAGAGCCGGAUGGCAAAAGCUUGCUGGAUCUCUAUUUUCUGUAUGGAGAAAGACUGCAUGAGCGGGGGCCUCACAACCCUUCUGACUUUUUCUUUUUCCAGCAGGAGGUGUCAGAAAAUGACCACAGGGAUAACUGUCUUGUGGCGAUCAAGUAUCCAUAGCAAUGUCAGCUCUUCCUAUAAUGAAGCAGAAUUCAGCAAAUGUUGGAUUGUUUACCCACUAAUAGGGAAUGUGAGCUGGGUUUAGACCGUUGUGUGAAGGGUUAGUUUUACCCUACCAAUGUUGUGUUGUUGCAAUAGUAAUCUUGCUCAGUACAAGAGGAACUGCAUGUUCAGGCGUUUGGUGUAUGUGCUUGGCUGAGGAGCCAAUCGGGCGAAGCUGAUAUCUGUGGGAUUAUGACUAAAUGCCUCCAAGUUCGAAUCCCCCCUAAACUGUAAAGGUAAUGCAGCACUGUGGAGCCUCGGUUGCCCUAGGCCAGCCGGCCUCUGAGCCGGUGCAUAGAGCUGCUUGCCUCAGGACUCGAGUGUGGACAGAAGGGAAUAGUUUCUUACCUGUAACUCCAUUUCUCCAGCUC